rnacentral:rRNA from 1 species
AGUGAACGCUGGCGGUAGGCUUAACACAUGCAAGUCGAACGGCAGCACAGUAAGAGCUUGCGCUUACGGGGGGGGAGUGGCGGACGGGUGAGGAAUAUAUCGUAAUCUACUUUUUCGGGGGGGAUAAGGUAGGGAAACUUACUCUAAUACCGCAUACGACCUACGGGUGAAAGCAGUGGAACGUUGGAGCGUGCGCGGAUGAAUGAGCGGAUGUCGGAUUAGCUGGUUGGCGGGGUAAAGGCCCACGAAGGCGACGAUCCGCAGCUGGUCUGGGAGGAUGGUCGGCCGCACUAGAAGGGGGCCACGGUCCAGGCGCCUGCGGGACGCCGCAGUGGCGAAUAUUGGGCAAUGGGCGCGAACCUGGUACAGCCAUACCGCGUGGGUGAAGGCGGCCUUCGGGUUGUGAAGCCCUUUUGUUGGGAAAGAAAAGCAGCAGGUUAAUACCACGCUGUUCUGACGGUACCCAAAGAAUAAGCACCGGCUAACUUCGUG